rnacentral:rRNA from 1 species
CUCUUGAACUAGCUGUAUAAGAGGUCCUGCCUGCCCUGUGAUAACAUUUAACGGCCGCGGUAUCUUGACCGUGCAAAGGUAGCGCAAUCACUUGUCUUUUAAAUGAAGACCUGUAUGAAUGGCUAAACGAGGGCUAAACUGUCUCCUUCCCUAGGUCAAUGAAAUUGAUCUUCCCGUGCAGAAGCGGGAAUGAAUACAU